rnacentral:ncRNA from 1 species
UAUUAAACGUUGAUGAGACCAGUAGGUAUAGUAGAGAUUUCAGAGAGCUAACGGUAGCUGUGAGUUAGUAUUGAAGCUAUAUUGAAUAACGACUCGGAGUUUCUAACUGAAGGGCACUUUGAGGCCUGCGUAGGAUUAGAGGGUUAAAACCCUUAUAUUUUAGAGUGGCUUUUUUUAAGCAACUAGGGUGGCACCGCGAAAGUAUGUCCUUCGUCCCUAUU